GGGGCUCUGCCCACUUUGAUGUCCAGAGGUUUCCGUCCUCCCUGGUCAGCUGGCUUCUCUUUCACACGCUCACACCAGAAUUUUCCAUGGCAAGCUAUGCACAGUCUGUAGUAAUAAUGCUAUAAUAGCCUGCAUUUCGUGAACACCCACUAUGUACCACAUUCCAUGCGUGAUGACAUCAUCUCACCGAAUUCUCAUGGACACAGGUAAAAUUAUU
rnacentral:lncRNA from 1 species